rnacentral:rRNA from 1 species
UUUUAUUUUAUUAGAGGAACCUGUUUAUUAAUCGACAAUACACGAUAAUUUUUACUUAAAUUAUUAAUUAUAAAUUUAUAUACCGCCGUCAUAAGAACUAAUUUAAUAAUAUUAUUCUACAAAAAGUUAGGUAAAGGUGUAAUUAAUUUUAUAGUUUAAAUUGGUUACAUUAAAAAUAAUUUAAGAAUUAUUUUCAUAAAUUUUUUUAUUAAAAAGAAUUUAAAAGUAUUAUUAAUAAUAAUAUUAUAAUAAG